AAUCAACGCUGGCGGCGUGCCUAACACAUGCAAGUCGAACGAGAAAGGGACUUCGGUCCUGAGUAAAGUGGCGCACGGGUGAGUAACACGUGACUAACCUACCCUUGAGUGGGGGAUAACCUCGGGAAACCGGGGCUAAUACCGCAUAACACCGAGAGGUCAAAGGAGCAAUUCGCUCGAGGAGGGGGUCGCGGCUGAUUAGUUAGUUGGCAGGGUAACGGCCUACCAAGACGGUGAUCAGUAUCCGGCCUGAGAGGGCGCACGGACACACUGGAACUGAAACACGGUCCAGACUCCUACGGGAGGCAGCAGUGGGGAAUUUUGCGCAAUGGGGGAAACCCUGACGCAGCAACGCCGCGUGGAGGAUGAAGUCCCUUGGGACGUAAACUCCUUUCGACCGGGACGAUUAUGACGGUACCGGAAGAAGAAGCCCCGGCUAACUUCGUGCCAGCCGCCGCAGUAACAC
rnacentral:rRNA from 1 species